rnacentral:lncRNA from 1 species
GUUGAGUGUAUUUGCUUCGUUUUCUCUUCAGAUUCUUCACGGAGAGUUUGAUGUUGUUUUGAUGGAGGUUUCGAACAACGAUUUGUAUAUUUUGAACUUUGAUUUUUGCUCGAAAUUGGGAGCGUUUCCUUGGUUUCGAAGCGUUUUGAGAAGUGGAAGAAGUGGAGGAAGUGGAAGAGUCUGCCAUACGUAACUGUUU